rnacentral:rRNA from 1 species
ACCACCUGAUCCCAUCCCGAACUCAGAAGUGAAACGCAGCAUCGCCGAUGGUAGUGUGGGGUCUCCCCAUGUGAGAGUAGGUCAACGCCAAGC